GCCCCCCGCCGCCAAGCCACUAGGGGGCACCCCGGAGGGCUCGCCCUGCAAGAGCCCGUCCAAGAAGAAGAAGAAGUUCAAGGCGCCGUCGUUCCUGAAGAAGAGCAAGAAGCAGAAGGAGAAGGAGAAGGUGGAGGCCUGAGGCGGCUUGCCUCCUCGCCACACUACAGGCCUCCACCCCCCGGAUCAGAGGGUGGAGGUCUGUCGCGGCUCGGCUCCUCGCCGCUCUACAGGCCUCCACCCUGAUCAGAGGGAGUCGGGAAAAGAGUUGUCCGCCGUGUGUCUUCAUCUGCCUGUGGUAGCCUAUCAAUGAAGGGGGGAGGGGGAGGUCAUCAUUACAGAUAGUUCACACACCAUUGGCUCAGUUGUGCUGAAUCACUGGGGGGGGGGGGAUGUACAAAUAGUUCCCCUACUUAACUGUGAUAGCCUUGACAUUUCUGCUACUCAUGUGGUGCUGCCUCCAUACACCCAUACACACUCCCACCCCUGAUCGGUUUCCUCUUAGCCGGUUGAGAUAAACGAGGAUGAUUCUUUUAAAUGCCUCACCAAGUUUUAAUUUCGCUAUUUAUUUAUGUAUUUAUUAAUUUACUGUGGCCAACACAGUAAACACCUUUAUCCCCGCUCACCGGCACAGCAGCAGAAAGAGUAAAGUCACUAAGGCCUCUAUUCCCUUCAGCCCCGGUAGGUGUGCGGUUGCACCUUUGCCGUGGUCCACAGUCCUUGCUGUCUGCAGCUCAGCCUUCUUGUUUUCCCCUUUUUGUUUUUUAACCCCAAACCCUGUGACUAACCUUUUGCUUUCCUGCACCACUGCAACAAAUCCCCAGUGCAUCGUGCAUCCUCAUACAUGUAUAGACUAAAUGCACUUGACUUGACUUACGUGUGUAUAUAUUCACUCUGGUAUGUUGCAUUCACAUAUCACAAUAGGCGUCCCCUGGCCGUGAUAUUACCCUUAUGAGACAGGUGUUGAGUCGUGUCAUGUGCGCAUGGUGCAGUACAACUGGAAAUACACAGACACGGCUUCUCACCAGGGGGAUUUCUAGGUACAUGAGCCUACCCAAAGCUACAUACAGCAGGACAGACUAACACAGAUAAGCAACAAGCGCCCAUCAAAAGACCGGUCACUCACCAAGAUAACAACAGAGCCGUCCACGCAGUUUGACGUCUACUAAUGGACCGUACUUAACAUUCCACUUUGUCAUGUUUUUUUUUUUCAAUAAACGUGUACAAAAUACCUCGCAAGAGCUGUAAUGAUUUUUCUUUUUUUAAUCACGUGGCCGUCUUUGAAGAUGCUGAUUUGCGAUGUUUGUUCCUGGAAUUAUUUACUCCAUAUUAAAAUGUAUACGUGUGUGUUGCAACGUUAACAUUUACCAACCAUUAAAGAUCAAGUCAAAUUUCA
ensembl:lncRNA